rnacentral:rRNA from 1 species
UCUGACUNGAGUGCAGAAGGGGAGAGUGGAAUNCCAUGUGUAGCGGUGAAAUGCGUAGAUAUAUGGAGGAACACCAGUGGCGAAAGCGGCUCUCUGGUCUGUCACUGACGCUGAGGCUCGAAAGCGUGGGUAGCGAACAAGAUUAGAUACCCUGGUAGUNCACGCCGUGAACGAUGAGUGCUAGGUGUUAGGCCCUUUCCGGGGCUUAGUGCCGGAGCUAACGCAAUAAGCACUCCGCCUGGGGAGUACGACCGCAAGGUUGAAACUCAAAGGAAUUGACGGGGGCCCGCACAAGCGGUGGAGCAUGUGGUUUAAUUCGAAGCAACGCGAAGAACCUUACCAGGUCUUGACAUCCCGAUGCUAUUCUUAGAGAUAGGAAGUUACUUCGGUACAUCGGAGACAGGUGGUGCAUGGUUGUCGUCAGCUCGUGUCGUGAGAUGUUGGGUUAAGUCCCGCAACGAGCGCAACCCUUAUUGUUAGUUGCCAUCAUUAAGUUGGGCACUCUAGCGAGACUGCCGGUAAUAAACCGGAGGAAGGUGGGGAUGACGUCAAAUCAUCAUGCCCCUUAUGACCUGGGCUACACACGUGCUACAAUGGUCGGUACAACGAGUUGCGAGCCGGUGACGGCAAGCUAAUCUCUGAAAGCCGAUCUCAGUUCGGAUUGGAGGCUGCAACUCGCCUCCAUGAAGUCGGAAUCGCUAGUAAUCGCGGAUCAGCACGCCGCGGUGAAUACGUUCCCGGGCCUUGUACACACCGCCCGUCAUACCACGAGAGUUUGUAACACCCGAAGUCGGUGAGGUAACCUUUUAGGGGCCAGCCGC